UACGUAGGGGGCAAGCGUUAUCCGGAAUUACUGGGUGUAAAGGGAGCGUAGACGGUGAUGCAAGUCUGGAGUGAAAGGCGGGGCCCAACCCCCGGACUGCUCUGGAAACUGUAUGACUGGAGUGCAGGAGAGGUAAGCGGAAUUCCUAGUGUAGCGGUGAAAUGCGUAGAUAUAUGGAGGAACACCGGUGGCGAAAGCGGCUCUCUGGCCUGUAACUGACACUGAGGCUCGAAAGCGUGGGGAGCAAACAGG
rnacentral:rRNA from 1 species